rnacentral:lncRNA from 1 species
CUUACCUCAAAGCAACGUAAGCAUCUGCAAUGUUAAAUUAAAAUCCACAUCAACAACCCUAGAUAUGGUUUCUAAUUAACACGCAAUUUUUGUUUUGUUUUCACUUAAUUAAUGAGAAUCAUGCUUUAUGCAAUGCAUGCCACUAAUUUAACAUGAAAUGAUAUGACAUAGCAAAAUGACUUAGCUAUAUGACCUAAGCAAUAUGACAUAACCAAACAUGUAAUCUAUUCUAAGC